GCCGGGCUUGGUAACGCGAGCUUGUUACCUUAGAGGGGGCACCAAAGUGAUGGAACAUCGCACAAGCCUAUGCGGUUGGGUUCGAAGUGGCAAACUCUUGGCUCGCCCGUUCCAAGCCAAGAGUGGAACCAUAGGUCUGAGCGAAGGCUCGAAUCUCUUGGCUUCUUAGAGAAGAGGGCACCGCGUCAGGCUGGCUUCACAGAGCAGCGAUAACCUCUCACUCCUGGCAGUGGAAGGAUAACGAGUCAGUGUUACUUGAGCCCACACGACCAUAUAGGCUGUGAUGAUUGAACCAUCAUUUUU
rnacentral:SRP_RNA from 1 species